UAAGGAAUUUUCGUCAAUGGGGGAAACCCUGAACGAGCAACGCCGCGUGGAGGAUGACGGUUUUCGGAUUGUAAACUCCUUUUGUAUGGGACGAUAAUGACGGUACCAUACGAAUAAGCCCCGGCUAACUCUGUGCCAGCAGCCGCGGUAAUACAGAGGGGGCAAGCGUUGUCCGGAGUUACUGGGCGUAAAGCGCACGCAGGCGGUUGUGCAAGUGGGAUGUGAAACCACCGUGCUUAACACGGUGACGCCAUGCCAAACUGCACGACUUGAGUGGUGGAGAGGUUGUUCGAAUUGCCGGUGUAGUGGUGAAAUGCGUAGAGAUCGGCAGGAAGACCAAGGGCGAAAGCAGACAACUGGCCACCAACUGACGCUCAGGUGCGAAAGCGUGGGGAGCGAA
rnacentral:rRNA from 1 species